UGGGGAAUAUUGGACAAUGGGGGAAACCCUGAUCCAGCCAUGCCGCGUGAGUGAUGAAGGCCUUAGGGUUGUAAAGCUCUUUUGUCAGGGAAGAUGAUGACGGUACCUGAAGAAUAAGCACCGGCUAACUUCGUGCCAGCAGCCGCGGUAAUACGAAGGGUGCUAGCGUUGUUCGGAAUCACUGGGCGUAAAGGGUGCGUAGGCGGCUUUGCAAGCCAGAGGUGAAAGCCUGGAGCUUAACUCCAGAACUGCCUUUGGAACUGCAUGGCUAGAGUGUCGGAGGGGAUAGCGGAAUUUCUAAUGUAGCGGUGAAAUGCGUAGAUAUUAGAAGGAACACCGGUGGCGAAGGCGGCUAUCUGGACGACAACUGACGCUGAGGCACGAAAGCGUGGGGAUCAAA
rnacentral:rRNA from 1 species